rfam:Glarea lozoyensis 74030 unplaced genomic scaffold M7I_scaffold10, whole genome shotgun sequence.
GGGUGUGAUGAUCAAUUGACACUAUAGGAAUUCCUCAUUCUGAAGUUAUCAUGUAGAUUCUGUCUUUUAAAAGUUUCAGCCUUGUCUGACC